UGACACGGUUGACACAGCGACAGCUCCGCCUCAAAGAACAGCGACGGAAAGCAAAGGCUGGUGUACAGGUGUGAGCACAUCUGCUAGAAACCUAAUUUAGAAAGUUCCCGGCACCGACUACAGAACCCGGACCGCACCACCUGGAUUUUAUGGCAAAAUCAACGCUAAUUACAAUGAAAACAAAUCUUUCCUGGUAAGAACAGCGAGCACAGACCCCAGGCGGAAAGGAGCAGUGUCCUCUCCACGGCCCCGGAGACAGAGGGAUGCCGUCUCCACUGAAGUCACUCAGAGGUUACCAAAAGAAGCAAGAAGAAAAGGCACCAGGCAAUCAAGACACAGAAUUAUAAUAUAAUGGUAAAAUACAACAGGCCACACCAUCAGGUUAUAUCUGAGAACAGGUGUGCAAAGGCUGAGCAGGGAAAUGCCUUAUUUAUCUUCUGCUUAUUUUGCACUUUCACCCCAGGACCCUGCAUUUAUGAGAAACACACUCAGAUCUUUUUUUUCCCCAUUAAAAUCUCUGCAAUUUUAUCAUCUGGUUAUUGCAUGCGCAUUUUUAUCUUAAACCUAUUUUGAAGUAAUUAUAUGUUUAUGCUGGUUUAGAACACUCCCUUUUAUGAAACUAAAUUAUUGGGUAUUUGUAUGUUGUCUGUUAUUUCGUAUUCUAACAUAGUAAUUCUGAGAGCAGGACAAAUACACCUCAUUGCCUGCUUC